GCUUGAGAAGGAUAGAAGUGAUCCUUUGGUCUUAGGAACCAAAAACCCUUGGUGCAAAUCCAAGCUAAAGCU
rnacentral:tRNA from 1 species